GGGGAAUAUUGCACAAUGGGCGAAAGCCUGAUGCAGCAACGCCGCGUGAGUGAAGAAGGUUUUCGGAUUGUAAAGCUCUGUCAUCUGGGACGAUAAUGACGGUACCUGAGAAGAAAGCCCCGGCUAACUACGUGCCAGCAGCCGCGGUAAUACGUAGGGGGCAAGCGUUGUCCGGAAUUACUGGGCGUAAAGGGUGCGCAGGCGGACAUUUAAGUGAGAUGUGAAAGACCCGGGCUUAACUUGGGCAGUGCAUUUCAAACUGGAUGUCUGGAGUGCAGGAGAGGAGAACGGAAUUCCUAGUGUAGCGGUGAAAUGCGUAGAGAUUAGGAAGAACACCAGUGGCGAAGGCGGUUCUCUGGACUGUAACUGACGCUGAGGCACGAAAGCGUGGGUAGCAAAC
rnacentral:rRNA from 1 species